rnacentral:rRNA from 1 species
AGAGUUUGAUCAUGGCUCAGAUUGAACGUUGGCGGCACGCCUAAUACAUGCAAGUCGAACGAGAAANCACUUCGGUGCGAGUACAGUGGCGGACGGGUGAGUAACGCGUAGGAAUCUACCUAGUAGUGGGGGACAACUCGAGGAAACUCGAGCUAAUACCGCAUACGCUCUAUGGAGGAAAGUGGGGGAUCUUCGGNCCUCACGCUAUUAGAGGAGCCUGCGUUAGAUUAGCUAGUUGGUGAGGUAAAGGCUCACCAAGGCUACGAUCUAUAGCUGGUCUGAGAGGACGAUCAGCCACACUGGAACUGAGACACGGUCCAGACUCCUNCGGGAGGCAGCAGUAGGGAAUCUUGGGCAAUUGGGCGAAAGCCGUGACCCAGCG